rnacentral:rRNA from 1 species
UGCCAGCCGCCGCGGUAAUACGGAGGGUCCAAGCGUUGUUCGGAAUCACUGGGCGUAAAGCGCGUGUAGGCGGCUUGGCAAGUCGGGUGUGAAAUCCCGGGGCUCAACCCCGGAACUGCACCCGAAACUGCCUCGCUAGAGUCCCGGAGAGGAUGGCGGAAUUUCCGGUGUAGAGGUGAAAUUCGUAGAUAUCGGAAGGAACACCAGUGGCGAAGGCGGCCAUCUGGACGGUGACUGACGCUGAGACGCGAAAGCGUGGGGAGCAAACAGGAUUAGAUA